rnacentral:rRNA from 1 species
GACGAACGCUGGCGGCGUGCUUAACACAUGCAAGUCGAACGGAAAGGCCCUGCUUUUGUGGGGUGCUCGAGUGGCGAGCGGGUGAGUAACACGUGAGUAACCUGCCCUUGACUUUGGGAUAACUUCAGGAAACUGGGGCUAAUACCGGAUAGGAGCUCCUGCUGCAUGGUGGGGGUUGGAAAGUUUCGGCGGUUGGGGAUGGACUCCCGGCUUAUCAGCUUGUUGGUGGGGUAGUGGCUUACCAAGGCUUUGACGGGUAGCCGGCCUGAGAGGGUGACCGGCCACAUUGGGACUGAGAUACGGCCCAGACUCCUACGGGAGGCAGCAGUGGGGAAUAUUGCACAAUGGGCGGAAGCCUGAUGCAGCAACGCCGCGUGCGGGAUGACGGCCUUCGGGUUGUAAACCGCUUUCGCCUGUGACGAAGCGUGAGUGACGGUAAUGGGUAAAGAAGCACCGGCUAACUACGUG